GGGCAGUUGUGAGAGACCUUGGCCUAAAGAUGUGAGAGCUGGGGGUGUGGGCCAUUCAGCCUUGACGGUGUGAGAAGGGGAGAGCUAGUCCUGUCCCUGGAUGAGACAGUAUUAAAGAGCCUACCCUUAUGGCCUGACCCUUACCUGGGCAAAAUGGAUGAACUGUCCGUUAGGGCAGUUGGUGAAGGACCACGCUGGCUCAGAUUCAGGACCUAGAUUUGGUCCACUCCAACAUCUAUCCCAUCUAUGAACUGCUGGAGCUCUGGAAGGGGUUGGUCCAGGAGAUCAAACCUGCAGGAUCUCCAUAUAAAUAGAAUAUCUAAGCACAGCUUAGGGGGAGGAGUAGCAAGCACUGAGGACAUACAUGGAAAGACAGAGGGGUUUUGAAAUACUAGGCUCACUGGCCCAUUGGAUCCUCCUGACUUAAAUCUUGGGUAACUAGGAGUAUUGGGGUAUUUGAAAAUCAAUGAAGAUCCAGGCAUACAAUUCUGUGGAGGAAAAGCAUGUGUUUUGCAAGCCUGAGGACCUGAAUUCAAUCUCCUGAUUCCAGUUUGGAAGAGAACCAAUUCCUAGAAUUUGUCCUCUGACCUUCCUCUUCAUUCUUUAACAUGCCCAUACCGGUACAUACAUAUUAAUAAAAUAAAAGUAUAAAGGAAUAAAAAGC
rnacentral:lncRNA from 1 species